rnacentral:rRNA from 1 species
AUUGAACGCUGGCGGCAGGCCUAACACGUGCAAGUCGAACGGUAACAGAAAGCAGCUUGCUGCUUUGCUGACGAGUGGCGGACGGGUGAGUAAUGUCUGGGAAACUGCCUGAUGGAGGGGGAUAACUACUGGAAACGGUAGCUAAUACCGCAUAACGUCGCAAGACCAAAGAGGGGGACCUUCGGGCCUCUUGCCAUCGGAUGUGCCCAGAUGGGAUUAGCUUGUUGGUGGGGUAACGGCUCACCAAGGCGACGAUCCCUAGCUGGUCUGAGAGGAUGACCAGCCACACUGGAACUGAGACACGGUCCAGACUCCUACGGGAGGCAGCAGUGGGGAAUAUUGCACAAUGGGCGCAAGCCUGAUGCAGCCAUGCCGCGUGUAUGAAGAAGGCCUUCGGGUUGUAAAGUACUUUCAGCGGGGAGGAAGGGAGUAAAGUUAAUACCUUUGCUCAUUGACGUUACCCGCAGAAGAAGCACCGGCUAACUCCGUG